rnacentral:rRNA from 1 species
CACGCUGUAAACGAUGGAUGCUAGCUGUUAUCGGUAUCGACCCCGGUAGUAGCGAAGCUAACGCGUUAAGCAUCCCGCCUGUGGAGUACGGUCGCAAGACUAAAACAUAAAGGAAUUGACGGGGACCCGCACAAGCGGUGGAGCGUGUUGUUUAAUUCGAUGGUAAGCGAAGAACCUUACCCAGGUUUGACAUCCCGAGAAUUUUGCCGAAAGGCGAGAGUGCUUUAUUGAACUCGGUGACAGGUGU